AGUGAACGCUGGCGGUAGGCCUAACACAUGCAAGUCGAACGGCAGCACAGUAAGAGCUUGCUCUUACGGGUGGUGAGUGGCGGACGGGUGAGGAAUACAUCGGAAUCUACUUUUUCGUGGGGGAUAACGUAGGGAAACUUACGCUAAUACCGCAUACGACCUACGGGUGAAAGCAGGGGAUCUUCGGACCUUGCGCGAUUGAAUGAGCCGAUGUCGGAUUAGCUGGUUGGCGGGGUAAAGGCCCACCAAGGCGACGAUCCGUAGCUGGCCUGAGAGGAUGAUCAGCCACACUGGAACUGAGACACGGUCCAGACUCCUACGGGAGGCAGCAGUGGGGAAUAUUGGACAAUGGGCGCAAGCCUGAUCCAGCCAUACCGCGUGGGUGAAGAAGGCCUUCGGGUUGUAAAGCCCUUUUGUUGGGAAAGAAAAGCAGCAGGUUAAUACCCCGCUGUUCUGACGGUACCCAAAGAAUAAGCACCGGCUAACUUCGUG
rnacentral:rRNA from 1 species